rnacentral:lncRNA from 1 species
AAGACAAUCAACCCCUCCACAUCUGUCUGUCCUGCUGGGCUGCUGUUAGGGGUUAUGCGAACUUUCACAGCAGUUUCAAAUCACGGGCUCUGAGGUCUGACAGAUCUCAGUUGGGGUCCUGAGUCCAUCACUCCCUAGCUCUGGGUCCUGGGGCAAGGUCAGUAACUUCUCGGCACCUCAGUUUUGCAUCUGCAAAAUGGGGAUAAUAUUAAUACCUGCCCCACCUGACUGUCACAACAACCAGAUGAGAUUGUGGGUGAAAGUGUGGCACGGUGCACAGCCCAAGUGAAGUCCUCAGAAGGCUUUGAUAUUGAUGGCACAGCCCUUCCAGCUCAAGAUCAGGAAAAAAAGAUUAAAAUGGUAAAUUAUGCUCAUAGUGUUUUCACAUUCAUCAAAUUUAGUGGAGCCUCACAAAUGGGCAAGGUAGGUCAGAGUUCAUCCUCUUGAGUCUAGUAAAUUCAACUGCCCACCUUCCCUGGAACGAUGCUGAGUCUGCCAGGGGUUGCUGGCAAAAGGGCAAGGCAUCCUACGCUACUGCUACAGUGGAAAUCAGGUUCUCCAGCUUCACCUGGGCCAGCCCUGGCCUGGCCCUUUCAGCAAAUGACUUUGAAGGUUGCCUCAUGGAAAGACUGUCCAAAAGCCACUCACUUAACCAUACACCCCAAACCUGCCAACUUCUCUGCAUCCCCAACUGUUCCCUCCUUCCCUUGGUUCGGCAUCCCGGAUUUAUCUCUCUGUCCAAGUUCUUGGGCCCCUUUCUCUCCCCUCUGCCUUCACUCCUCCCAGCUCCUUGCUAUCGGCCUCAGCAUGCACCCACGCUGCUCUAAUGAUUAAAAGCGAAACGUAGCAGGUGCCGUGCUAAGCGCUUUUACAAGCACAUCUCAUCUCAUCUUCACCGGAACCCCAGGAGGCACCUUCAUCCCCAUUUUACGGAGGCUCCAAGGAGUUCAGUGACUUGCCUCAGGGCUCACAGAUAGUGAAUGGGGACUCCGGAUCCCUGUGUUCUAACCACAUGCGGUGCUUUAAAACGCAUUCCCCAUUCCUCUCCAGCAUCUACACGCUCUCCUCAAUUGAACAGAACUUUUAGAAAACGCUGUCUACACGGGCGCUCCGCUUCCUCACUCCAGUCGAGGCUGCCCCAGGCCCGCGGCCUGCCCCAGUUUCUAUCCACCUGGCCCUGUGGCCAGCCCACGCCACGCCUCCGGCGCCUCCUAAUUCCCUUCCUUGCUGGGGCUUCCCGCACCCCUUCCGUGCUCCCCAGCCCCACCCUCGCACUUCUCCUUGACCCCUUUCUCUUCCGAGGAUUCUCGGCGCUGCGCACUCGCGUCUCNNNNNNNNNNNNNNNNNNNNNNNNNNNNNNNNNNNNNNNNNNNNNNNNNNNNNNNNNNNNNNNNNNNNNNNNNNNNNNNNNNNNNNNNNNNNNNNNNNNCUCUUCCGAGGAUUCUCGGCGCUGCGCACUCGCGUCUCCCCAGCUUUCCCUUCGUCUCUCGGGUCCCACCCACCCCUUCCUCUCUGCCCCAAGCCCGCCUAAGCGAGCGGUCGACCUGACCUUACUCUCUUCGUGUGCCACAUCCUGUUUUCAGAUUAAUGAGCUCAUUUGGUGGAAACUUACCGAGGGAAAUAGUUUAAUUUUGGAAAGUACCAAAAACUUAUCUGUAGUCACUCGACUUAUUUUGGGGGGCUCUCGAAAUAGAGGGGGCAUCACCAGGGGACCUCUGAGCCAUCAGGGAGCGGCAAAUUGAAAGGAGAACCCGAUGAGGCUGAACGUGACUCAGAAAGGAAUCAAAACCUUUUGGAGACCACUCAUCUCUACCCAGUAGAAAAAAAAAAAUUCCAAAAAUACUUUGAAGAAGAAAAGUACUAUGUGUGGCUAAGGCCUAAGAUCUGGUNNNNNNNNNNNNNNNNNNNNNNNNNNNNNNNNNNNNNNNNNNNNNNNNNNNNNNNNNNNNNNNNNNNNNNNNNNNNNNNNNNNNNCCCUAUCUGCUCUCCUUGUCCUAAGAGGCACCAGAAGGUUUCCGUCCUCCAGUCUUCCCCCGGUCCUUCAGCUGUCAGACUCCUGGCCUUGAGGCUGCCUGCUAGCCUUGUAGCCUGUUAAGCUUGUGGUUCCUGCAGGGAGCUAAGGAUUGAGUAGUUAGGAGGACUCUGGAAAAUUAAAGUUUUUGUGCCGUUCUGCAUUGAAGAUGGUAGAGCACGGGUGACAAGCCCCUUAAGUGUCCGAUCACCUCCUUGGCCUGCCCUGUUUCCUAGAGGAGAGACUUUUCAUCCCUUCUAAGAGGUAGGAUAGAAAAAUGGUGAAAAUUGACAAGGCACUGACAAUUUAGUCCUGGAAUGAAAUUGUGUCUUCCUUCUCUCUGCCCCGCCUUCCCCCAGCUGAAACCUGUAUAGAUAUUUUGGAGGAUAUAUUUAUAUUUUGGAAUGAGCACUGGAUUAGGAGUCAGGACAUGUGUGUGUGUGUGUGUGUGUGUGUGUUUUCUCCCUGUCACUAAAGCAGUUUUGGGGGAGAGUAGCUGAAUAAAUGAAUGCUCAAUAGUUCAACAAAUUAUAGUCCAUAGUGUUGUUAUUUUUUUCCUAAGUGGAAAAUGACCUGGGUGGAGUGCCAUGGGUUAUCUCAAAACUUGUAUCAGCUGUGAGACUGUCUUCAAAUGCUCUUUCACCUAGAGCCCAAGGAUGCAUGCUAAGUCGCUUCAGUUGUGUCCGACUCUCUGGAGACUCCGCCAGGCUCCUCUGUCCAUGGGAUUCCCCAGGCAAGAAUCCCGGAGUGGGUUGCCAUGCCCUUCUCCAGGGGACCCUCCUGACCCUGGGAUCGAACCCGCGCCUCUUCUGUCUCUUACAGGGCAGGCCAGUUCUUUACUGCGGGCGCCACCUGGGAAGCCCAGAGCCCAAGCCUACAGACCAGCUAGAAGCAUGGAUUUUCUGUUAAGCAAAGCAGACAGCUAGGAGUCUGUGCCUUGGGCUUCUUUCCUCCCCAUCCUGACCUCUAGGCUCUAGGAACAUGGUUUAAAAGUGGUGGAUAUCACUCCCAGAUCCCAGAGGUGGAAACUGGGAUUCUCUCCUGAGCUGGCUUGCCUCUGCUGUCCCAACCGUUGGAACUUUUUUCCCAACGACUGAGCCUUUCCAGGUGUUAGAGUCCUGAUGGGCAUCGGAGGAGGGAGAGAUUGAUUGCCAGGGUCAUCAGCCUUCCAGAGGGUGGGGGGCAGGACGAGACUGGAGCCUAAGCGCUUGGAGGACUGAGGGUGGCGGUCGCGGUGAAAGCGGCAGUGACGAUGUCAGCGGCUACACGUUAGUAUCCGUCACCGCGACACUGCUCUCAUCCGAGCGCACCACAGGCCUCGCUCCCUUUACUGAUGCCAUCGAGAAGAGGUGAGAAAACGCCUUUCUCCUUUCUAAAAGCCAGGCCCCAGAUUACAGCAGCGAAUGAGGCAGGCCGGGCUGCUGGUCUCAGGGCCGCCGGCUCCUAGAGGCGGAUGCGCCGCGUNNCCGCGUGUGUCCCUUCUCCGAAUGCCAGUCGUUCACGCUGCUUCUGUGUGUGUGCGUGUGCGCGUGCGUGCGUGUGUGCGUGCGUGCGCGGGGUGGGGGGUGGCGGGGCUCAGUCGUGUCCAGCUCUUUGCCAUCACAUGGAUUGCAGCCUGCCAGACUCCUUUGUCCAUGGAAUUUUCCAGGCAAGAGUCCUGGAGCAGGUUGCCAUUUCCUGCGCCAGAGGAUUUUCCCGAUUCAGGGAUCGAACCCGCGUCUCGUGUGUUUCCUGCAGCGGCGGGCAGGUUCUUUAUCGCCGCGGCGCUUGGGAAGCAGCAGAGCUGGACAUGACUGAGCAUGUUAAGUAUGUGCCGAUUCCCUGGCUAGGGAUCAGACCGGUGCCCGCUGCAGUGGAAACAGAGUCUUCACCCCCGGCCUGCUAGGGCCGGUCCUGCUUCGGUUUGCCAGCCCUUAAACGGGGGCCCAGAAUGGGCUACCGGCUCCUCUUCUCCUAAACACCAGACAUCCCCCUCUUUGCCCCUAUAUUCCUUCUCUCCAUUGCCAGCUGCAGGCUUUGUCCCUGUCCCUGUCUUUAGUAAACACAGUUAGUGAGCAGCUUUCCCGCUAACAUCAUCUAUAUCUCCUCUGAAAACUUCUGAUUCCUGGACCAGGAAAUUUAAUUAGACAGAUGAUUACAGGUUAUCAGACAUCUAGUGUUGAUAGAUUAGAAGAGCAAAUGGUCCUGAGUUCCUCAACCCAAGUUAAGCACCUCCCCAUGGUGACUUAUACACAACUGGCAUCAGCAAUGGAACCACCCACCGAAUGAUCUUGUAAGACCUUUAGCCUGUAAGGCACAGCCUUUGCUUCGAUGUGAUGGUUUAAAAUGCCCCAAGUUUCCUUCUGUUACUCUCCAUCUUGUUCUUUCUAUACUUGUUAUAAGUGGCGACUUAUAAACGAUGCUUGUUUACAGGUUUUUUUCCUGAACCACUAGAAUCUGUGAAUUAUAUGAAUAUAAGAAGUUAAGUGAAUUAAAGGUGUUAAAGUAAAGCUGUGUCUGAUUUCUCUGUUGUCUUUCCCCCUGACUCAGCACAGAGGAGGCAAUCAAUAAACAUUUCUGCAAUCAAUGGCUAAUACUCAAGACACCAUCCAUAACCAUUUUUACUUGAGGUGAUGACCAUUAAUGAUGGUCUCACCAUUGUCACAAACUAUUACGUAUCUUUGGCCUGAUUUUUAGGGUGUUAUGAAAUUAGAAAUAGCAUUCUAGUGGAAAUUUGAUAAGAAAUUUGGAGUUCUUCUCUGAAAAGGGUUUCUAUGCCAAGUGAUUUUUCGUAUCUCAACAGACUUCCAGAUUUUAAGGAAAGAAACAAAUCACUUCAGAAGUUCUUUGAAUUGUAGGCUCCAGAGCUGUCCCUAGGGGUUUUCCAACUAUUUGUGGGACUGGCCGCUUUGAGAGUGCCGUGGAGAUUCCAGUUUGUGAUGGGGGUACCAAUGACACUCACAGGGAUGGUAAUGUGCUCCAGGCAAAGAGCUUGGCAGACAGCCCCUUUGAUAUCGACAAGCUCUUAUGAGGCCAACGAUGAGGAAGGCAGACAACUCUGGGUCUGUAAUAGUCCACGUGCUGCUUCUCUUCACCACCUCUGGCCACCCGGGUGCCUUGUUCUACAAAUUUGGUUUUUCUAUGUGUCAAAUCCCUUUUUUCAGGGACGCUCGACAAUUACAAAUGCUUCUGAAGGUGGAUGCCUGGUCCUCCAAGGCCUUUUGCUGGGCUACAGAAUUAUUGCUCUUCCCUCAUACUUGUGAAAGGGUGGGUUUCCCAGGCUCUUGGCUCGAGUGGAACAGGGAUGACUCGAUGUCCUAGCUGCAAAGCAGUCGACAUCUGCCUGAGGAGGGAUAAGCCUGGGGAUCCUUCUCUCACUUUGUCCUGAUGACUCAACCUGAGAGAGAAAAAAUCAAUGUGUGAGCAGAGCUCUUACUCAGGAAUCAGGAGACCUGCUUCUGACAUUGAUUUCAGGACAGUGGGGAAACACUGUUCCAUUUUUGGACCUCAUUUUUCCCAUCUGCAAAGUGGGUGAAUGACCUCAGAGCCACCCUUCAGGGCAAAUUCCUUGGCCAUUCAAACCUGGUUCUGGGGAAGGGGUGCAGCCCUCCCACCUGGUGGGGGGCCGCUCUCCCCACCUGGGCCAGGAACGUCUGUAACGGACGCUGGAAGCUCCCACCAGAUGCCUGGCUUUUUUGGACUCCACACACAAUAUUUUUCCAAGACAAAGCAAUAUGAAAAACCUGAUGAGUUUCUUUCAGAGCUCGGGCUAGGUGAAUUUACAGCGCAAGAAUAUGGGGCAGGGAGUAACGGGCUACCAACCAGGGCUGCGGCCUGUGUUCCCUCAAAGGAUACCCAAGCUCGGGGCUCGGAUCAUGAACACGUGGAGCUGAUGCUUACUCAUCUCUUCUGAGCUUCUUGUCUAAAAACGGGGAAACGGGAGCUCAGGUUGGGGAAAGAGCCCGUACAGUAA